UCAAAGAGGAGUCUUCUCCAAUCAAGAAAGGGAGGCUUUGACUCCAAGUUAAAGAACCCUCCCAAAUCCUCCCACUGCCAUAAAUCCCUGAAACUGAGAGCUUAAGGCAGGGAUUGUGUGAGUCAUGGGGAGAUAAUCCAGUGAGAAGAUCCUGGAGCAGGACAUUUCCUCUUUCUGGAGUCCCUGUCAAGCCACUUAUGGAUGGAUUUGCAUUUCGGUUGGGAAAUGACUGAACCGGGCCUGUUUUGGCAGCUCUGCUUCCUCCUGGGUGGGGCAGCAAGUCCCUAUAAAAAGGCCCUCUGCUGCAUCACUGCCAUCCUCCUGCUACUCAAGUCCGGAUAGACUUUGGAGAACCUGAUUCUAAGACUCCAGAAAGAUGUCUCAGCAGCAGCAGCAGUGCAAGCAGCCCUGCCAGGCACCUCCAGUAGUGUGCCCACCCAAGUGCCCUGAGCCCUGCCCACCUCCAAAGUGCCCUGAGCCAUGCCCACCUCAGCAGUGCCAGCAGAAAUGCCCUCCUGUGCCACCUCCCCAACAAUGCCAGGAGAAGUGCCCACCCAAGUGCAAGUAACAGCAUCAGCUUUUAUCCGGAUCAGGAAAGGAUGAGGACAACUGGCUCACCUAGCUCCACAGCUCCACCUUCAUCUUCUCUUUAAAGCCUAUCCUGGAUACAGAAUAGGCUUCUCCACCCUUCAGCCAGCAGUAUGCCUGUGGUGAUUCCUGACUGCCAGAGGUUUCCUUCCUGAGGCUGCUACACCACUUGCCUCUGGGAAGACAGCUGAGAAAACAGUGCUUCAGAGGGAAGAGCAACAGCUCUCCUCCUGGACACCAUCAGAAGAUUCUUUCCCUGUCUUUUGUGUCUGUCUGUCACCUGGGCAGGGGUUUCUACCAACUAAACAACUGUUACUUGUUCUCCACUUUCUGAAUAAGCUACAAUUUUCUUUUGUGAUGGUAAAAAAAAAUUUUUUUCCUAUUAAAAGCACUUGCAGCCAUA